rnacentral:tRNA from 1 species
GGCACUUUGGCGGAGUGGUUAACGCGCUGCCCUGCUAAGGCAGUUCCUUCGGGAGCAUGUGGUAAACUCACGUGACCUGACUCGGUCCCGGCCG